rnacentral:rRNA from 1 species
UACAGAGGGUGCGAGCGUUAAUCGGAAUUACUGGGCGUAAAGCGUGCGUAGACGGCUAUCUAAGUCGAGUGUGAAAGCCCCGGGCUCAACCUGGGAACUGCGUCCGAUACUGGAAGGCUUGAAUCCGGGAGAGGGAUGCGGAAUUCCAGGUGUAGCGGUGAAAUGCGUAGAUAUCUGGAGGAACACCGGUGGCGAAGGCGGCAUCCUGGACCGGCAUUGACGCUGAGGCGCGAAAGCCAGGGGAGCAAACGGG